rnacentral:rRNA from 1 species
UACGUAGGGUGCAAGCGUUGUCCGGAAUUAUUGGGCGUAAAGAGCUCGUAGGCGGUUUGUUGCGUCGGCUGUGAAAUCCCGAGGCUCAACCUCGGGUCUGCAGUCGAUACGAGCAAACUAGAGUGUUGCAGGGGAGACUGGAAUUCCUGGUGUAGCGGUGAAAUGCGCAGAUAUCAGGAGGAACACCAAUGGCGAAGGCAGCACUCUGGGACGUGACUGACGCUGAGACGCGAAAGCGUGGGGAGCAAACAGG